rnacentral:rRNA from 1 species
UACGUAGGGGCCGAGCGUUGUCCGGAGUUAUUGGGCGUAAAGCGCGCGCAGGCGGCCUCGCGCGCCCGACGUGAAAAGCCCCCCGGCUUAACCGGGGGAGGGUCGUUGGGGACGGUGGGGCUUGAGGGCGGGAGAGGUCGGUGGAAUUCCCGGUGUAGUGGUGAAAUGCGUAGAGAUCGGGAGGAACACCUGUGGCGAAAGCGGCUCACUGGACCACAACUGACGCUGAGGCGCGAAAGCUAGGGGAGCAAACAGG